CUCACCCCUGUGGCACCUCCUGCUGGUAGUCAUUGGGAAUUAGCUCACCCGGCUCUUUCCAACGUGGAGCGCCGUCUGCAGGCCGGUGAUCCGUACAGCUCUGGCCCCCGUGUCCCUCACAGACCCCAGUGCCCCUUUCUCUGGGGUUCUGCCCCCUGGCAGUACCCCCACACUCUGCCUCUGGGUCUCCCCUUCCUGGGGAACCCCCAACCCACUAUCCCCACCUUGCCUCAGUCUGGGCUGCUGCCAGUCAUCACCAAGCCCCCGCUCCCUGGGGCAGACUGCCGUAUAAAGGCCACUCAUCGUAGGCAAGGGGGUUCGGACCUGUUGCCUUCCUCUGCCUCCCAGUACCUCUAUGGGCCUUGGACCAGGCCCUACAGCCUGGGGAGU